rnacentral:rRNA from 1 species
AGUCGACGAUUAAGCACCUUCGGGUGUGUAUAGAGUGGCGAACGGGUGAGUAACACGUGACCAACCUGCCUCUUACAUUGGGACAACCAAAAGAAAUUCUGGCUAAUACCAAAUACUCCGCACAUAUCACAUGAUGUAUGCGGGAAAGCUUUUGCGGUAAGAGAUGGGGUCGCGGCCCAUUAGGUAGACGGCGGGGUAGAAGCCCACCGUGCCGAUGAUGGGUAGCCGGGUUGAGAGACCGACCGGCCACAUUGGGACUGAGAUACGGCCCAGACUCCUACGGGAGGCAGCAGUGGGGAAUAUUGCGCAAUGGGGGAAACCCUGACGCAGCAACGCCGCGUGCGGGAUGAAGGCCUUCGGGUUGUAAACCGCUUUCAGCAGGGAAGACAUCGACGGUACCUGCAGAAGAAGCCCCGGCUAACUACGUGCCAGCAGCCGCGGUAAUACGUAGGGGGCGAGCGUUAUCCGGAUUCAUUGGGCGUAAAGCGCGCGCAGGCGGUUGCUCAAGCGGAACCUCUAAUCUCGGGGCUUAACCUCGAGCCGGGUUCCGAACUGGACGACUCGAGUGCGGUAGAGGCAGAUGGAAUUCCCGGUGUAGCGGUGGAAUGCGCAGAUAUCGGGAAGAACACCAACGGCGAAGGCAGUCUGCUGGGCCGUCACUGACGCUGAGGCGCGAAAGCUGGGGGAGCGAACAGGAUUAGAUACCCUGGUAGUCCCAGCCGUAAACGAUGAGCGCUGGGUGUGGGAGAUUACAUCUUCCGUGCCGAAGCUAACGCAUUAAGCGCUCCGCCUGGGGAGUACGGCCGCAAGGCUAAAACUCAAAGGAAUUGACGGGGGCCCGCACAAGCAGCGGAGCAUGUGGCUUAAUU